AUUUGAGAGAGAGUAUAGAGAGGUAACCAAGUAGGAGUUUUCCAUAACUCCGGCGAAAUUCUUGAUGGCUUUCAACGGAUCCUUUCUCGAUAUAUUCAUUGUCAUUCUCGUGGACGACGGUGCAUGAUCCGGUGUGCCACAAAUCUGAACUCAAUAACAAGAACACUUUAUUAGUGGUGUUGAAGAAGCUUUGGGUCUUUUUUUUGUUCGAUUUUACACUUUGAGAGUUUAUUAUUCGGCAUUGUAGUUGUAAUAAUCUUUUGUAUACUACACUUUAAACUCUAAACCACUCAUAAUCAUGUUUAUGGAUUAUGACUAACUUGGCUUUGUGCAUUGCUAGUAAUGUUUAGCAAUGAUAUUAUUAGUGUCUCCUUAUAAUAAGUUGCUUACCUAUUAUAUGCAGUAUGAUUGAGUGCUGCAGAUAUAAAUCCAGUUGGAAGUAUCAGCAAGCAGGAGCUUCGAAUGUUUUUGCAAUAGGCUGCUAUCCAUCUUGGUUUCUCAUCAUUUACAGAAGUUGAAGCUGCUCCUCCCACUGCUGAAUUGGAACCUAUACGAUCCAACUACAGCCAGGUAUGCUAGAAUAAUUCUAAAAUAUGGGCUUCCCAUUUUAUUGCAAAUUUUACGGGUUAAAUGCAUGGUUCAUAAUGAUACUAUUUUUAAGUUCAAUAUGUUAAAUGAUCACUUAGGCCAUUUUACACCUUACAUGUUAUAUUUUAUUUAAUGUGGUAAUUUAAGUAUGUGGGUUGAUAAGUGUGCUUUUAUGUACUUAUUUAAUUCACAAACAUGACUAAAUUAUGAGCAAAGUGUUUGAAUUGUGAUUUAAUUUCGUUUGAUUUGUAUAUCAUAGGUUAUAUUGAUGGACAUGUUGGAAUCCACGAGAAAAGAUUCGAAAAGGACCAAAAAGGAAGAAAAACGAAAGUCUAGGGACUAAAGUGCAAUUAUCAAAAAUAUGACCCGAGGGAGAAAUCGAGGAUUUGAUUGAGCCAAGUGUCAAUUGGAGGCCACUAUUGAUGUAUGGAAUGAAAAAAAAAACGAAGGAACGAGAUCAAAAUUGAAGAAAACAAGUUCGAGGACCAAACCUUGAAAAAAUGGAAGUUAGAGCUACUAUGCGGUCGCAUAGUAGCAUUAGCCAUGCUGUCGCAUGGCCCAUGGCAGGGAAUUAUUUGGCCAAUUUUUGAUCAACUAUGCGAUCACAUAGCUUAGUGCCGUGAGGUCACAUAGUGAAAAACUGGGGGCCGACUUUGCAGUUUCCUAUUUUCCAUAAAACUCUUUUUGGAACUUAAUUGGGACGUGAUAUAAAAAUCUAGAGUCAUCAUAUUUCGAGGGAGAACGCAUUGAGAGGUAAGAAAACGCAUCUUGGAGAAGAUUUUGAGCGAGAGUAAUGAAUGAUUUCAUAAAGAUCAUCGAGAUUUCAUGCGAAUUCAUAACCCGACGAUAUUUUAUCUUCAAGCCAAUAUGUAUUCUAUUAUUUUCUUCAUGUUAGGCUAAAUAUUUUUAUGCUAGGAGAUCAAUGAACCUUGUGAU
rnacentral:lncRNA from 1 species